AUCCCUUUGUAGUUCAUAAGCAUGAUGAUCAGGUUUUCAGGCACAUGUGUGCAGUGUGUCUCCCUCAAACUUUGUUAGGAUGCCAGCAAGCUACCCAUCAGACU
rfam:Callithrix jacchus chromosome 8, whole genome shotgun sequence